rnacentral:lncRNA from 1 species
GGGCUCAACUUCCGCGCUGUGGUUAACUUAGGCUUGCUGGCGCGCAUCUUCUUGUCCUUUGGACACAGGCAUAUCCCAUUCUUUCCGGAGGGGAAAGAUACUCGCGUAGAAGGAGAAAACAGGUGCACAGAACCUUGCCCGGAAGCGCUGGCUGGGGUCCCGCAGGGCUGGACCUGAUGUAGUCCACGCGCCACACGUCCUCCUGGGCGCCGACGCGCACCUAUGGCGGCCUCCGACGCGCGGACGUCAGCGUGGCGUUACCGGGGUGGAGCCUCGGAAUGUACUGGAGAGCCUGGCGAGAAAGUCGGGGCUCGCAGCUCUCCGGCGAUGACAGCGCUGUGUUCCCGUUCUCCCUUCACCCGGUGGCCGGGACCACUGAGCCUCCUUCCCACAAUGGGAGAUCCCGAAUAGGCGAAGAGUAUCUUCGUGUCCCAACCCUUUAACAACUACCGCGCAGGAGCGUGUCAGCCUCUGGAAGCAAAACUGUCCGGUGUUGAGUCACCUACACCCAGCACGUCCCGCCCCGACCCGCCCAAGUGUGCUCUUAAGAUAGGGAGGCACAAAGGUGACCCCAAUAGGAAUCCUGGGCUGGCGGUCCCUCAGAAACUAGAGUUGAUAACAGUUUGGCCAGAACUGAAGUGACUAGAAAUGCAGGUGCCUCCAGCGUCUGAGACUAGAUAAGUUAACUUCCUACAACUUGUUGCUUUUCCUCUGUAACUCCGCCUUCCGAGGUGUCAGAAGGAACCAACCAGACCUUAAGCCCCUGUACUGCCAAAGACAGAUGGUUGAGCAUCAGAUGUUUUGCAAAGCUGAAUGAUUUUUUUUUUAAACUUCCUACAGAGCUCCCAGCUGGGUCCCUUGUGGCGUUUUCUCUAACGUCUUAGCUAAGAAAGAUUGGGCAUAUCUUCACACCAGUGAGCAAAGUUGGGCUAAUAUGCUGAAUUUUCUGUUACAUUAUACUGAUAACAGAAUUUUAAAAAUAUAUCGACACCGCUUA